UCCUAGAGAAACAUAGAAGCUUGUAUAAGGUCAAAAUACGGUUGACCGUCUCUACCCAGCACCGUAAAUGCUGGUCUAUAAGUGAAGAAGAGCGGAUA
rfam:Enterococcus faecalis V583, complete genome.